GAUGAACGCUGGCGGCGUGCCUAAUACAUGCAAGUCGAGCGAACGGACGAGAAGCUUGCUUCUCUGAUGUUAGCGGCGGACGGGUGAGUAACACGUGGAUAACCUACCUAUAAGACUGGGAUAACUUCGGGAAACCGGAGCUACUACCGGAUGAUAUUUUGAACCGCAUGGUUCAAAAGUGAAAGACGGUCUUGCUGUCACUUAUAGAUGGAUCCGCGCUGCAUUAGCUAGUUGGUAAGGUAACGGCUUACCAAGGCAACGAUGCAUAGCCGACCUGAGAGGGUGGUUGGCCACACUGGAACUGAGACACGGUCCAGACUCCUACGGGAGGCAGCAGUAGGGAAUCUUCCGCAAUGGGCGAAAGCCUGACGGAGCAACGCCGCGGGAGUGAUGAAGGUCUUCGGAUCGUAAAACUCUGUUAUUAGGGAAGAACAUAUGUGUAAGUAACUGUGCACAUCUUGACGGUACCUAAUCAGAAAGCCACGGCUAACUACGUG
rnacentral:rRNA from 1 species